GCUGGGUGUGUAAGUGCGGUAACGUAUUGAGCUAACCAGUACUAAUUGCUCGUGAGGCUUAACUAUAUAACGCCCAAG
rnacentral:rRNA from 1 species